AGUGAACGCUGGCGGUAGGCCUAACACAUGCAAGUCGAACGGCAGCACAGUAAGAGCUUGCUCUUACGGGUGGCGAGUGGCGGACGGGUGAGGAAUACAUCGGAAUCUACUUUUUCGUGGGGGAUAACGUAGGGAAACUUACGCUAAUACCGCAUACGACCUACGGGUGAAAGCAGGGGAUCUUCGGACCUUGCGCGAUUGAAUGAGCCGAUGUCGGAUUAGCUAGUUGGCGGGGUAAAGGCCCACCAAGGCGACGAUCCGUAGCUGGUCUGAGAGGAUGAUCAGCAACACUGGAACUGAGACACGGUCAAGACUCCUACGGGAGGCAGCAGUGGCGAAUAUUGGACAAUGGGCGCAAGCCUGAUCCAGCCAUACCGCGUGGGUGAAGAAGGCCUUCGGGUUGUAAAGCCCUUUUGUUGGGAAAGAAAAGCAGCAGGUUAAUACCACGCUGUUCUGACGGUACCCAAAGAAUAAGCACCGGCUAACUUCGUG
rnacentral:rRNA from 1 species